GCCGAGUGGUCUAAGGCGCCAGCUUCAGGUGCUGGUCACGAAAGUGGCGUGGGUUCGAGUCCCAC